GAUUGAAGAACGUAGCGAAAUGCGAUAAGUAGUGUGAAUUGCAGAAUUCAGUGAAUCAUCGAAUCUUUGAACGCACAUUGCGCCCUUUGGCAUUCCGAAGGGCAUGCCCGUUCGAGCGUCAUUACACCACUCAAGCCUGGCUUGGUAUUGGGCGACGGGGAGUCCUCCCGCGCCUUCAAUUGAUCGGCUGGACGGUUCGAAUCUCAGCGUUGUGGUUUCAUCAAAUCGCUUACGAGGAGAACCGGACGCGCCGUUAAAACUUUCAUUACAAGGUUGACCUCGGAUCGGGUAGGGAUACCCGCUGAACUUAAGCAUAUCAAUAAGCGGAGGA
rnacentral:misc_RNA from 1 species